rnacentral:tRNA from 1 species
GGGAGUGUAGCUCAGUGGCAGAGCAUGUGUUUAGCAUGCACAAAGCCCUGGGUUUAAUUCUCAGCACCCA